AUUGUACGUGAGUUCCCUAAUGUUUUUUUCCAAGGGACUUGUUAGGAUUACCACCAGAUAGGGAGAUUGCAUUCUCCAUUAACUUAGUACCAAGUACAGGGCUAAUCUUUAAAGCACCGUACCGAAAGGCUCCUGCAAAGUUGAAGGUUUUAUUAGACAAGGUUUUAUUAGACCCUAUGAUGGUACACUUAAAGCUAGUUUCAUAAAAGAAAAGAAAUGUUUAAAAUUAUGUAUAGAUAUCUAUGCAUCACUUGAUUCUGAGCAUGACUACAUGUGGAAUCGGACUUGAAUAUGUGCCCCGCCAUGGGGAUAAAUAUGGGGACCCCACCAUGGGGGUAAACAUGGUGUGACCCUACCACAAAGGAUAUAUGUGGUGACCCUGCCACAAGGGUAAGCGAGGCUUGAACCUUAGCCGUAGGGGCUAAGUGCAACAUCGUGAUCACUCUUCUGAUUGAGAACCCAGACCACAGGGGUUAAAUAUAAUGACCCCGCCAUGGGGUAAACAUGACAUGACCUAUGCUGUGGGGGCUAAAUGCAGCCAUAGUCAUUGACUGUAUUGUAGAAAAUGUAAAUUGGGUACCCAGGCAUAAACAUGUGUAUAGAUUGAUUAUCAGUAUAUGAAUACGCGCAUAGUAUAAUCUUGAGACUUGAAUAAUUUUACUCUAAUUUUAGUGAUCCAUUCAUUCUAUGUAUAAUAUUGAAAAGAUGAAAUGUAUCAUGUUAGUAUGUAAAUAUUAUCAAAACUGAUGGUCAGAAAGUUACCUGUAUAGAUGUAUCAUGUUUACAUGAUUUAAUUAAGUUGCAUUGUAUGAUUUAGCUUGAUUUAAUUUUAUAAAGUGGAUUUUUUUCUUACUAGGCCGUGAAGCUCAUAAUCUUCACAUACAUUUUUUAGAUCUAGGGAUGAAAUUUUAGGGUGGCGAGAAUCGGCAUUUUAGGGCAUGUAUAUGGAGGCAAGGCCGACUUGUAGCUAGUACAUAUAGUUCCUUGGAUCAGUUUGUAUAUUAAUAUGUUGUAUGUGGAUUAUGUAUCAAUGGGUUAAAUACUAAAGUUUUGAGAUGCAAGUAUAAUAGUUAGUUAUUUCUGAUAAACACUACAAUAUGAGUAUGGAAUAUAUUAUUUUCCAAAUUAUAUUGGAUUGAUUGACAGGUAGAAUGCCUUGCAUGCUUAUACGGUAAUUCCCUAUGAGUCUGCGGCGGAUGUUCACAUCCUCAAAUUGUAAUUUUGGGGUCGGGGGCGUGAUAGUAGUUAGCUUGAAUUAUUUAGUGUACCAAAUAGAUGUAAAAAGUUGUGAGAGAUUAUGUGGGAAAAUCUCCUAGUUUCGUUGUUAAAAGGGAGGAGAAUGAAUUAUGUU
rnacentral:lncRNA from 1 species